UUAGCUGUGUGGAUGGAUAGGAACGGUUGUAUCUUAGAGAUGUCAUGCAGAAAGAAUCGGUAAGAUUUAGACAUAGUCUGGAUGUGAAGAUCUAAAAAAGUGUGGCUGCCAAA